CCUAAAGGCCGUGGGGGGGGGGGUUCCACAAAGGUUUUCCCUCCCCUGUCAGCCUCUUAAAUCACCGCCACAGCCCAUUUUAAUAAUCCUUUAUGGCCUGUUCGGGCCUCCAUAUACUGGCAUGGCGGGCAUUUUGGAGGCUGCCACACAUACUCAAAUGGCCUCUGCGAGGGCCACACAAGGACAAUCUGCGCACGCGUGGUGGCCAUUUCCCCCCCAGUGGCCAUGGUGGUUAUUUAAGAGGCCAGCAGGGGAAGAGGGGACCUUUGCGGACCACUCCCCUCACGGUCUUUAGGAAGCCCUCUGAAGGGGCAACAGCUGUGUUUUCCCGUUGUCCACGCAAGCUAGAAAAGACAACUCCCCCUGCUGGUGGAUUUGUGCAACACCCUUUAUUUACGGUUUGAAGACGAUCCUGCCAAGCCGAAGUAAACUACUGCUGAACAGCAUGUGAUCCGGAAAGCUCCCAAGAAGCCUAGCUGUGAAGGACAUAAAAGUUUUCUCCAGAGGUCUACAUGUCAUCAACCUUGAAGAAGAAAGUCAGAGGCUAGAAGACAAAAGCCGACUGAGCAGCCCCAUAUAUACUCAUAACCUAAUGCAUCUUCCAGUUGGUGAGCCCCCUACUCCAAAAGACAAGCACUUCUUGAGCUGGUCUUCAAGCAAGUUUGUGUACCGGUUCGAGGCCUUGGACAAGCCGGGGAGCACAUUCCAUGUCUGUCUUCCUUGUCUCUCAUAUCCUUGAGACCCCAUAUAGGAGUGGUAUGAACGAUACAAGAGUACUGUUAAGACAUUGAUGAAGAGAGAGACUGGGAGUUUUGGUCUUCUUAACAAGACCCACGCUACCUUGAAUGAGCAAAGCUAUUGUACAAAUAGCUGUAUGGUAUUGUUGUAUACAUAUGGUUUUGUGAUUUGUCCUUUUGUAAACUUGCAGCUGGAGUUUAUCUCUCGUGUGUAGCUGAAUUCAUGUAUUUGCAUAUAUGCGUAUACUUACUUUAAAGCUUUAUAUGUCUAAAAAAAUAAACUUAAUGCUUACUAA